UUGCCUGUUUUAUCAAAAACAUGUCUCCAUGAUUUGGAUGUGGAGUCUGGCCUGCCCAUUGAAUAAAAAUUUAAAAGGCCGCGGUAAUUUAACCGUGCAAAGGUAGCAUAAUCAGUAGUCUUUUAAUUGAGGGCUGGAAUGAAGGGUUGGACAAGAAGUUAACUGUCUCUAUAUUAUAGAUUGAAUUUUACUUUUAAGUGAAAAGGCUUAGAUGAAUUUAUGGGACGAUAAGACCCUAUAAAAUUUGAACAAGUUGAUUUUAUCGUGUUGAAUUAGGAGUUUAAAUUAAAGUUGUGUUAUUUUGUUUUGUUGGGGUGACAGAGAUAUAAGAUAUAAAUUAGUAGCUGUUUUUAAAUAUAUAAUAAUUUUGUUUAGUUUAAUAUGAUCCUUAAUUUGGGAUUAAAAGAUUAAAUUACUUUAGGGAUAACAGCGUAAUUGUUUCUGAGAGUUCUUAUCGACGAAAUUAGUUGCGACCUCGAUGUUGAAUUAAAGUUUCUUUUAAAUGUAGUAGUUUAAAUUAGUGGGUCUGUUCGACCUUUAAAACUUUACAUGAUUUGAGUUCAAACCGGUGUGAGCCAGGUUGGUUUCUAUCUG
rnacentral:rRNA from 1 species